rnacentral:lncRNA from 10 species
GUGCAGAGCGCGGAGGAGCCGCGAGCGCUGAGGGUGAGUGCCGGGAGCUCUGAGGGUGUAUCUAGACUCCCAUCCAGCGUGCUUUCUGCAAAACUUACUGAACCAUAGCCCAGAAUGGCCAUCCAUGAUGCCCACCCGCCUUGUCUCCUGAAGCACAUUGCCAGGUGGACCUGCACAUGGUGUGGACGGCAGACAGACUGGGGCUCUCAACAACUGGUAUUUGCUGGAUGACCAUGAACUAACCAUUCAAUUUCUCGAAACUUUGGUUUCUCGUCUGUAAAAUGAACAUAUGCAAAUCUAUCCUACAAAGUGUGUUUUGUGGAUUGAAUGAGAUGAUACACGCCCACCCAGUGCCUUGAUCAACCUUAAAAUGCUGCACAAGUGUGAGGGGAGAUGGAUCCUUGAAGAAGACAGACAAGCAGAGGGGAAAGAUCUUGGAAGAGUUUCACAAUAUGCUGAACUUUAUUCCUGGAUCAGAUACAGAGCUGUCCGGGUGUCCACAGGGCCGGGUCAGCCUCCUCAGACCCCAACACACAUACCCUCUUCCCCUCUGAGGAAAAUUCAGCAAAACUUCUUUUGCUGUUGUUGUUCUUUAUUCCUUUUUUUUUUUUUUUUUUUUUUGACGAAGUCUCACUCUGUUGCUCAGGCUGGAGUGUAGUGGCACGAUCUUGGCUCACUGCAACCUCCAUCUCCUGGGUUCAAGCGAUUCUCCUGCCUCAGCCUCCCGAGUAGCUGGGAUUAUAGGCGCCCGCCGCUACACCCAGCUAAUUUUUGUAUUUUUAGUAGAGAUGGGGUUUCACUAUGUUCGCCAGGCUGGUGUCAAACUCCCAACCUCAGAUGAUCCACCCGCCUCGGCCUCCUGUGGGAUUAUAGGCGUGAGCCAUCUUGCCCGGACUCCUUUUUUUUUUUUUUUUUUUUUUUAAUAGACAUGAGGUCUCAAACUCCUGGCCUCAAGUGAUCAGUCUGCCUCUGCCUCCCAAAGUGUUGAGAUUAUGGGCGUGAGCCACCACACCCAGCCAUAACUUCUUAGCAUGACUUUUCCCAUUUGUUAUGAGUUCAAUUGUGCCUCCCCACAAAAGAUAUGCUGAAGGCCUAACCCUCGGCGCCUCCUAACGUGACCUUAUUUGGAAAUAGGGCUGUUGCAGAUAUAACUGGUGAAGAUGAGGUCAUACUGGAGUAGGAUGGGCCUUGAAUCCAAUAGGACCGGUGUCCUUAUAAGAGAGGAGAUGGACACAUGAAGACAGAGACAUACGGGGAUCAGACAAUCAUGGACGGAGGAGGAAGAGAGUGCGGCGAUGCAUCUAGGAGCCACAGGACACCUAGAAUGGCCAGCAGCCGGUGGGAACCAGGAGAGGCAAGGACGGAUCCUCUCCUCCAGCCUUCAGAGGGAGCCCGGCCCUGACCACACCUCGAUCUCAGACUCUGACCUCCAGAACUGCGAGAGAAGAAAUCUCAGUUGUUUUAAUGUACGCAGCUUGUGGCACUUUGUGACAGCAGAUACAGCAGUACUGUGACAACACUAGGAAACGAAUACACCAUCCCAGCAUCUCUGCUCUGUUUUCCAUACAGAAUUGAACUAAGGACCAGGCAAGCUAAUGCAAGUCCAAACACUGUAAAAACUUUGGAGGCAAUCUAAGGAUGUGAGCCAGAUUUGUUUGCCAGAUCUUUUUUAUUUUAUUUAUUUAUUUAUUUUAUUUUAUUUUUUUUUUUUAGUGAGAGGGAGUCUCACUCUGUUGCCUAGGCUGGAGUGCAGUGAUAUGAUCUCGGCUCACAGCAACCUCCACCUCCCAGGUUUAAGUGAUUCUCCUGCCUCAGCUUCCUGAGUAGCUGGGAUUAUAGGCACCUGCCCCCAUGCCCAGCUAGUUUUUGUAUUUUUAGUACAGACAGGAUUUCACCAUGUUGGCCAGGCUGGUCUUGAACUCCUGACCUCAGGUGAUCCACCUGCCUUGGCCUCCCAAAAUGCUAGGAUUACAGGCAUGAGCCACCAACACCCAGCCCAUAUAUUCAUAUUUUUAAUGGACUUAUACAUGAAAA